AACAUAAGGGACCAUAAAUGUUAUUUUGAAAAUUAUGGGACUAAAAUCACAAGUUUUUGAAAGUUAGGAGGAAAAAAGUGCAAUUUAGCCAAACAUCAACUUUGUUUGGGAUAUAUACUAUAUACUAUCAAACUAUGAUUAAAAAAAACAAAUAAUAUGCAGCAAAAAUGGCAAUUAUUAUACAUGUAAAGAAGGUAAAAUGGUAAAAUCAGAUGCAACACCCAUGUGAUAUCACAAUAUAUUAUAUAAGCAAAAGGCAAAACUUGGCGCCUAAUAUCAUUUUUUUAGCAAAGGUUAUGCAAAUGAACAAACUAAAUUUCCAAUAAACUACUAGUCCCGAAAACACUAGCCAAAAACACGUAGAGAAGAAACAACAACGCGCAACUGAUGAAAGAAGCAUGAUGCCAACUUCAGAUAGCAAGUCUUGACAGUUCAACCAACAGUAACAGGCGAAGCAAUCCUUACAUUAAGUGUAUGUUCUUCACUCACAAAAGCAACAUAUGAGGAGCCAC
rnacentral:lncRNA from 1 species